GGAAAGUUCCUCGGUGUGUCCCCCGGCCACCCAGGUUCCCGCUGGGGGCCGCCACAGCUCUCUCUGCCUGGGUCUGCGGCUGCUGAGCUCUCGGGAGGGGAGGAGGGCCGGCCUCAAGAGAGCUGUGGAGGCCUAAGGAGCCAGCAGCAGCCUGCACCUCACUCCUGCGGGCUGGCGGUGCGUGUGGGCCGACCCCAUCCCAGCGCCGGGUCAAGUGUGUUCCACAAGGUCUCAGACGCUGCAGGGACGCGUGGCCGGGACCAGACACAGCCCAGGCACCCUCCAGGGCCUUCCCGCUGCCCCAUGGCAGCAGCUGACAGAGAGCGGGAUGGACAACCCUGACACCACUCAGCAGAGGACAGCACAGCAACCGAACCGCAGAGGAGGCUGUACCGCCCACCCAUCCACACCGCGGACGAGAGCCGUACGUGGAGCCGUACUCGCCCCGCAGACACGGCCUGUGCCGUAGCCCUGAGAGGAAAGCCACGGCUUCCCCUUUCACAGGUAGCAUGUGACCCUCACGGCGUGUGGGAGACCUGAAAGAGGAAACUUACUUUGCCUAACGUCAGAUGUCCCCGCAACAGGAUGUGUUAUGCAGCCCUGCCUGGCCCUCCGUGCACCUGCUUGCUCCUUGCAACAGCCCCGGGAGCGGCAAAGACAGUACUUACUAGGAAAGUCAUGGAAAGCUGGAUGGGCCUACUGGCUGGUGCCUGGGGGACGACUCAGACCCUGGGACAGGAGGGUUCCCACCCUGCCCAGCCAGCUCCUGGCCCCAGGAGUCCGUCCUCUCUCCUCCAAAUCUGGCCCCCUGUCCCUUCCCUCUCUGGUCCUCCCUGUUUCACCUGCAGGGUGCUCAGUGCCCGGAACUUGGCGUAUCUGAGGUGGCCAGAGGCGCCGGCAGAGCAGGAUGUCGGAGCUGCCACUCGCCUUCCACUGUGCUGUGAGAGCCACCGGGACACGUCGGCAUCUGCCCUGUUCUGAAAUCAACACCGAGACACACCGAGUCCCUUCAGAGGCAUCUGCAGAGGCAGCAACGCCACGCGAGGGCUGCCGACUCUCCAGCUCCAACAUUUCGUCUGGACCUCCCGGCAGCGCAGCGGGGGAUCCCCUCCCAUGAGGGGCCCGGAGGGGCUUCGAGAAGGCUGUCGCCUGAUGGGCUCCGUCAAGUUUCCCACUGCAGACCCUAAUUCUACCAGUUUUGAUUCCAUUUUAAAUCUGACUUCCAAGUGGCACCCCUGCCGACGGUCAAAACGCCCCCUCUCCUGGUGUGUGCCCUCCAUCCCCGCUUCCUGGGGGCAGCCGGUUUCUUGCUGUCUGGACAACAGAGCUCUGCCAACGCCACUUAUCUCGCCCGUCCAGGACUUUAUCACCAACUGUCCUACUUCCGACUCCAGCAAAGGAGCGACAGCGAGCACAUCUGUGCUUGGCUGUGACUAACAGGGCCUCUGAAUAAAGUGAAAAUAAUCCCACUUUAAGCUGCAAGAGGAAAGACCCACAGAAGGAAAGUCCUUCACGGAUGGAGACCCAGGAUCCUGAAAUGCAGGGCGUCCCUUCAACAUUCUGAGUAUAAAAAUUUAAACAUGCAAGCGCCGGGAGGAAAAGCAAUUCCUAAAACAUGGCAGAAACAACAUAAAAAAAAUCUUGCUGUUGUUUUAAAAACUGACCUAAGACCAGGCAUGGUGGCUCACACCUGUAAUCCCAGCACUUUGGGAGGCCAAGGCGGGAGGAUCACUUGAGGCCAAAAGUUCAAGACCAGCCUGGGCAAUGUAGUGAGACCACCCCCCAUCUCUACAAACAAAUGUAAAAAUUAGCCAGACAUGGUGGUGUGCACCUGUGGUCCCAGCUACUUGGGAGGCUGAGGUGGGAGGAUGGCUUGAGCCCAGGAGGUUGAGGCUGCAGUGAGCUGAGAUUGUACCACUGCAUUCCAGCCUGGGUGACAGAGCAAGACCCUGUCUCAGGAAAAAAAAUAAAAAAAUAAAAAAUAAAUAGCCUGAUUUCCUGUUUUCCAGGAAA